rnacentral:rRNA from 1 species
UACGAAGGGGGCUAGCGUUGUUCGGAUUCAUUGGGCGUAAAGGGUGUGUAGGAGGUCGGGUAAGUCAGGUGUGAAAUCUCAGAGCUUAACUCUGAAACUGCGCUUGAUACUGCUCGGCUAGAGGAUCGGAGGGGGUAACGGAAUUCAUGGUGUAGCAGUGAAAUGCGUAGAUAUCAUGAGGAACACCGGUGGCGAAGGCGGUUACCUGGAAGAUUCCUGACUCUGAAACACGAAAGCCAGGGGAGCAAACGGG